UCGAUUGCUUAAAAAAGUUUGCCACGA
rnacentral:sRNA from 1 species